GUGCCAGCAGCCGCGGUAAUACGUAGGGACCAAGCGUUGUUCGGAUUUACUGGGCGUAAAGGGCGCGUAGGCGGGACGAGUAAGUCACUUGUGAAAUCUCUGAGCUUAACUCAGAACGGCCAAGUGAUACUGCAGUGCUAGAGUGUGGAAGGGGCAAUCGGAAUUCUUGGUGUAGCGGUGAAAUGCGUAGAUAUCAAGAGGAACACCUGAGGUGAAGACGGGUUGCUGGGCCAACACUGACGCCGAGGCGCGAAAGCCAGGGGAGCAAACGGGAUUAGAUACCCCGGUAGUCC
rnacentral:rRNA from 1 species